CGGAGAAUGUUAUCACGGGAGACACACGGCGGGUGCUAACGUCCGUCGUGAAGAGGGAAACAACCCAGACCGCCAGCUAAGGUCCCAAAGUCAUGGUUAAGUGGGAAACGAUGUGGGAAGGCCCAGACAGCCAGGAUGUUGGCUUAGAAGCAGCCAUCAUUUAAAGAAAGCGUAAUAGCUCACUGGUCGAGUCGGCCUGCGCGGAAGAUGUAACGGGGCUAAACCAUGCACCGAAGCUGCGGCAGCGACACUGUGUGUUGUUGGGUAGGGGAGCGUUCUGUAAGCCUGUGAAGGUGUGUCGUGAGGCAUGCUGGAGGUAUCAGAAGUGCGAAUGCUGACAUAAGUAACGAUAAAGCGGGUGAAAAGCCCGCUCGCCGGAAGACCAAGGGUUCCUGUCCAACGUUAAUCGGGGCAGGGUGAGUCGACCCCUAAGGCGAGGCCGAAAGGCGUAGUCGAUGGGAAACGGGUUAAUAUUCCCGUACUUGGUGUUACUGCGAAGGGGGGAC
rnacentral:rRNA from 1 species